GACGAACGCUGGCGGCGUGCUUAACACAUGCAAGUCGAACGGAAAGGCCUCUUUCGGGGGGUACUCGAGUGGCGAACGGGUGAGUAACACGUGAGUAACCUGCCCUUGACUUUGGGUUAACUUCAGGAAACUGGGGCUAAUACCGGAUAGGAGCUCCUGCUGCUUGGUGGGGGUUGGAAAGUUUCGGCGGUUGGGGAUGGACUCGCGGCUUAUCAGCUUGUUGGUGGGGUAGUGGCUUACCAAGGCUUUGACGGGUAGCCGGCCUGAGAGGGUGACCGGCCACAUUGGGACUGAGAUACGGCCCAGACGCCUACGGGAGGCAGCAGUGGGGAAUAUUGCACAAUGGGUGGAAGCCUGAUGCAGCAACGCCGUGUGCGGGAUGACGGCCUUCGGGUUGUAAACCGCUUUCGCUCAUGACGAAGCUUUGUGUGACGGUAGUGGGUAAAGAAGCACCGGCUAACUACGUG
rnacentral:rRNA from 1 species